rnacentral:tRNA from 1 species
GGACCUGUGGUGUAGUCUGGAUAGCAUACCACCCUGCGGAGGUGGAGACCGGGGUUCAAAUCCCCGCAGGUCCA